UGAACCUUUCAAGGAAGAUUUUUGAAAUUGUCUCAUCUAGGGUUGAAACUUUGGUAUUCUGCUUCUAUGAUAGGAUCAUAGACCAUGAUUGGUUUUUGAAAAUAAGUUUUAAUUUUGGGUCUCGACACAGAUCGUUUUUCGGGAGUGACGACCUAAGAAUAUGUAGUAAAAGGAAGAGUAGAUGACUUCCUAUUUGAUGAAGGAGAGGAAGAAUGCCUCAUUUGAACAACUUCAUCGGAAGGAUGGAUGAGACUGGCCGAAGGCCUAAGUGAAGUAGAAGACUUUGUGGGAGAUUCAAUCUGUAUGCCAGAUGAUCUUGAUCUGGAUCGGGUUACCAUGGUGAACCCUAAAUCCAUAGUUUAUUGAUCUACACUCAUGUGUGAGAGUGUAGAGUUUGAAGAAAAAAAUUGAUGAUUGCUCUUUGAAGAGGUAGAGAUUACUCUUCCUCAGGACAAGUAGGAAAAAGCAAAAAGGAGCAAGUCGGAUGAGACAUCCCGCGUAAAGACAAGAAGAUGGAUCACGCCAAGCAGCUAACAACCUCAAGCGAUGAACCUAAACAUCACGCGAGGAAAGCUUCAUAAAAGACAAAAAUGGUAAUUGAAAUAAUGUGACUUCACAGGGGUGGAUUACGACGCUGGCACAUUAAGAGGAACAAAGUUUUCCCACCUAAAAUAAGCAUUGCAUCUACACCAAGAAGGGGAGGGGGGAGUGGCCUGAAUAGGCUUGGAGCCUGAAGAGGCCAUAGAGAGAGAGACUCAAGUGACCAGAGAAAAUCACAUAGAGAGAGAGAGUUCGAAUAAAACGCUCGGAGAUUAAACGACCAUGAUACUUGGAAAGAUUAUUUGUUGUUUAUCUCUUAGCUUGUAAUGUUACGUUCCAUUGUUUUGUCUUUCCAUUUUGUUAUUUCAUUGUAAUACAUGUAUCAUCCAUAUUAUACACUGGCCAAAGGCCUAUAUUAUUUGUACAUAAAUUGCAUGUUUAUGCCUUUUUAA